GAUGAACGCUGGCGGCGUGCCUAAUACAUGCAAGUCGAGCGAACAGACGAUGAUCUUGCUCCUCUGACGUUAGCGGCGCACGGGUGAGUAACACGUGGAUAACCUACCUAUAAGACUGGGAUCACUUCGGGAAACCGGCGCUAAUCCCGGAUAAUAUAUUGAUCCGCAUGGUUCAUUGGUAAAAUACGGUUUUGCUGUCUCUUAUAGAUGCAUCCCCGCCGCAUUAGCUAGUUGUUAAGGUCACGGCUUACCAAGGCAACGAUGCGUAGCCGACCUGAGAGGGUGAUCGGCCACACUGGAACGGAGACGCGGUCAAGACUCCUAAGGGAGGCAGCAGUAGGGAAUCGUCGGCAAUGGGCGAAAGCCUGACGGAGCAACGGCGCGUGAGAGAUGAAGGUCUUCGGAUCGUAAAACUCUGUUAUUAGGGAAGAACAAAUGUGUAAGUAACUAUGCACGUCUUGACGGUAACUAAUCAGAAAGCCACGGCUAACUACGUG
rnacentral:rRNA from 1 species